UCUAGUUUCAGAUGUCACCUCAUGUCAAGAAUCUCCAGGCAGAAGGGUCACUCAUCCUCUCCUUUCCCUCACCUGCAACUCUGGGGGUUGAGGAGAGGACAAAAUAGAGCAAACAGAAUCCUUCCAGAUGGUCAGAUAGUCCUGGUUUACAGGGCACAGUAACCUGAAUUUUAUGGAUGAAGAAAUGGAGACCCAUUUCCUUAUGGAUGAAGAAAUGAAGAGAAGUUAAGCAACUUUCCAGAGGCCCCCCGGCGGUGAAUGCCGCUCUGCUGCAGGAUGCCAGCACAAGGGGAUGGGCCUGUCUUUGCCUUUGGGGAGAAUCGUUUCUGCGAAUUAUUUGGAGAAAGAUCCGAGUUUGCAGAGAAGCUGGCAGCUCAUCUGAGCAGAAAAGUAGAAGUCAAAGUGAUUUCUUGGAGGAGACUCAUGGGGGGCCUCCCGGGUCACCAAACAGCCAUCUCUCUCACCUGGAAGAAAUAGGAAUUGAUUUGAAGCUUGUCCCAUCUGAAAAGGUCUGUCGGGAGCCAGAACCAGCGCGUGUUGUCAAGGACGCUUUUGGUCUUCGGUCCGGAGAAGAAGUGAUUCAUGAUGAUUUGCUUUUCCAGGGAGUCAGGGAGACCCAGUGGAGAUGCAGGCUCGGGUCCCAGGGGCCUGCUGGGUUAGAUUGUUUCCCUGAGUGGGAGGAAGGGAGGAAAAUCAAGGAGCCAGUAGGAGCUGAUGAAUGAG
rnacentral:lncRNA from 1 species